rnacentral:rRNA from 1 species
GCGCGAAAACUUCGCAAUGUGCGAAAGCACGACGAGGGAAUCCCAAGUGCUGGCUCGUUAGAGUCAGCUGUUUUUAUGUCUAAAAAGCAUAGAGAGUAAGGGCUGGGUAAGACGGGUGCCAGCCGCCGCGGUAAUACCUGCAGCUCAAGUGGUGACCGCUAUUAUUGGGCCUAAAACGUCCGUAGCCUGUUUAUUAAAUGCCUAGGUAAAUUGUAUGGCUUAACCAUGCGAAUUCUGGGUAGACUGGUAAACUUGAGAUCGGGAGAAGCUAGAGGUACUCCUGGGGUAGAGGUGAAAUUCUGUAAUCCUAGGGGGACCACCAGUGGCGAAGGCGUCUAGCUAGAACGAGUUUGACGGUGAGGGACGAAGCCCUGGGGCGCAAACGGGAUUAGAUACCCCGGUAGUCCAGGGUGUAAACGCUGCUUGCUUGAUGUUGGUUGGGCUCCGAGCCCAAUCAGUGUCGGAGAGAAGUUGUUAAGCAAGCUGCCUGGGAAGUACGAUCGCAAGACUGAAACUUAAAGGAAUUGGCGGGGG